UAAAGGAACAAUCUCCAAGCCCUGAAGCUGGCUUCUUCCUGCCCUAAGGGGGUGCAGACAUCUUUCAGGGUACUUGGCAUAUGCCUUCACCUGUGCCUACAUCACUAUCUCUCUUGCCAUUUGAGAUAACCUUCAAGUAUUUACAAUUGAUGCUCCCAUUUAAGAGGGUUCAGAGCUAAAGUGAUAGAGUCAUCUGCAACUCUGGCAAUAGCUGUGUCUCCCUGCUGGCCAGGGUCAAAGUCUGGCUCCAUUCAAGUCAGAUAAGUUCCACAUUUUGUGCCCUGCUACCAAAACUGGACAAACUCCUGAACUGCCCCUACCUCCCAUCAUGUAAGGCGAUAAGAGACUAUAAGCUUAAUAUCUAAAGGAGAGGGAUUUAUUUUGUGCAUGGAUCAGCUAAAACAUUAUUUGCUUA